rnacentral:rRNA from 1 species
AGAGUUUGAUCCUGGCUCAGGAUGAACGCUAGCUACAGGCUUAACACAUGCAAGUCGAGGGGCAGCGGGAUUGAAGCUUGCUUCAAUUGCCGGCGACCGGCGCACGGGUGAGUAACGCGUAUCCAACCUUCCGUACACUCAGGGAUAGCCUUUCGAAAGAAAGAUUAAUACCUGAUGGUAUCUUAAGCACACAUGUAAUUAAGAUUAAAGAUUUAUCGGUGUACGAUGGGGAUGCGUUCCAUUAGGUAGUAGGCGGGGUAACGGCCCACCUAGCCUACGAUGGAUAGGGGUUCUGAGAGGAAGGUCCCCCACAUUGGAACUGAGACACGGUCCAAACUCCUACGGGAGGCAGCAGUGAGGAAUAUUGGUCAAUGGCCGCGAGGCUGAACCAGCCAAGUAGCGUGAAGGAUGACGGCCCUACGGGUUGUAAACUUCUUUUAUAAGGGAAUAAAGUUCGCCACGCGUGGUGUUUUGUAUGUACCUUAUGAAUAAGCAUCGGCUAACUCCGUGCCAGCAGCCGCGGUAAUACGGAGGAUGCGAGCGUUAUCCGGAUUUAUUGGGUUUAAAGGGAGCGCAGACGGGUCGUUAAGUCAGCUGUGAAAGUUUGGGGCUCAACCUUAAAAUUGCAGUUGAUACUGGCGUCCUUGAGUGCGGUUGAGGUGUGCGGAAUUCGUGGUGUAGCGGUGAAAUGCUUAGAUAUCACGAAGAACUCCGAUUGCGAAGGCAGCACACUAAGCCGUAACUGACGUUCAUGCUCGAAAGUGUGGGUAUCAAACAGGAUUAGAUACCCUGGUAGUCCACACGGUAAACGAUGGAUACUCGCUGUUGGCGAUAUACGGUCAGCGGCUUAGCGAAAGCGUUAAGUAUCCCACCUGGGGAGUACGCCGGCAACGGUGAAACUCAAAGGAAUUGACGGGGGCC